GUGAGGAAUUUUGCGCAAUGGCCGCAAGGCUGACGCAGCAACGCCGCGUGGGUGAUGAAGGCCUUCGGGUCGUAAAGCCCUGUCAGGUGGGAAGAAAGGCCUGGAGAGGAAAGGUUUCAGGUUUGACGGUACCACCAGAGGAAGCACCGGCUAACUCCGUGCCAGCAGCCGCGGUAAUACGGAGGGUGCGAGCGUUAUUCGGAAUUACUGGGCGUAAAGCGCGUGUAGGCGGGGGGACAAGUCUGAUGUGAAAGCCCUGGGCUUAACCUGGGAAGCGCAUUGGAAACUGUUUUUCUUGAGUACUGGAGAGGAAGGGGGAAUUCCCGGUGUAGAGGUGAAAUUCGUAGAGAUCGGGAGGAAUACCAGUGGUGUAGGCGCCCUUCUGGACGGUAACUGACGCUGAGACGCGAAAGCGUGGGGAGCAAACAGGAUUAGAAACCCGGGUAGUCC
rnacentral:rRNA from 1 species